UGGGAGCGGAUUCUGAAAAGAACAUUUAUAUUUGGGAAUCAACUCAGCUCAGCAUCAGACAUUACGAAUACUGCAGUUGGUCACAUUUUACUAUGUGAAGGGCAGAAAGGGAGCCCAACAGUCUUCAUAAGCCAGACCUAGUCUCUAAGGUCACCGGCACAGACGCAGGGUCUAAAGCAGGAAAGAGGUGCGACUGGAAAGGAGGUUAGACAGGGCCCUGCGGGAAUGGAUCUGCCCGGAGCCCUCGCCUGGUUUUGCUUGAGACUCCGACAAGACUCCCAAUGCUUCUCUCCCCGACCCUAUCCCCACUCCCUCCAUCCUGGAAAAGCCAGUGAGCAAAGUUAACUCUUUCUUCUAAGAAACCCUGAGUGAAAUCUUGCUCUUCCUUUCUGCUAGAGUCCUGAAACCCUUUCGCUUCUCAUUGUGGGUUCACCAGCACGUGGUCUUCGGACACUGAGAGCACCUUCGCUCUCAGCUGUGAUCCUAGCUAGCCCAGACACCAGUCUGUACCCAAAGGAAGAGUAGGAAGUUGCAAAGGGAAGCUGGCUAACAAGGGCUUCUUCUGCCCUACUUGGCAAAGGCCCAUACGGGUGGCCUCCGUGGAUAUGGAGCUCCUUCAUUUUGUUCCAAAAAGAGCUCUGCCAGGCUUUACCAUUGCCCUGGAGGUGCACAGGCGCCCGUAUACUCGAGCACAACCAUGGGCUCACCCCAAGCGCGCACACCUGCACCCACGCGUAAGGAAGAACCACACAGCUAUCUCUGUCGGGGAAGAACACGAGGAGUGAAGUGCUUUAGGUGGAAACUCCUCACAUCUCCUUUCUUUCCUCUGCUCCCCCUCUCUGCCCCUGGUACUCCGGAUCCAAUCCUUGGCUUAGGAAUCCACUCAAGCCACGUCUGGCUGCUUUGUUCCAGAGGAGCGCAGCUCCGAGACUGCACUUCAGCGGUGCAGCCUCCCUCCAGGUCGGCGAGCGGCGCCAGAUCCGGGACUUCAGGGUCUCCGCGGGAGCUUAGGAGGCUCAGGAUCUGAGUUGGAGAGCUGGAAGGCCAAACUCCGAGCCGCUGAGGGACUGCGCAGGAAGACCACAGAAAUAAACCAAAGGGACACCGCGGACAGAUGUACCAGAGGACACCACUGAAGUCCAGGAGAAUCUCCACCAAAACCAUCAGCGUUUUCCUUGUAGCUUUCUGUCCCUCGAAGUGGAAAGUUGAGGUUUCUGAGAAGUCCACGGAGAGAACCUGCAGCAAACUGAAGCCACAGACUCCGAAGGCAUAGGGAGAAAAAAUGCUUCCAUCCCCCUUUCACUUUAAACUUGAUCGCUUCUGGGACUUCACUGGAGGGCGGUGGAGUUGCACCAACCUGGAGUACAGGCAGAUCCCAGCGAGCACUUCCAAGUACUUUAGGACGUGGGGGUGACUCUUUUUUCUUCAGGAUUGUCCCACUUGCCACCCUUUCCAGCUGAGCUGAUAGGAACCAAUGAAAGUCUAGGCGAUGAGGAUUUUCCGUUACCUCAGGGAUCAAAGUAUAAAAUGUUGAAUGAGAAACCCGAAGACCUUGCAUCGCUGGGCUGAAUAACUUGUUUUCUUUUUUAUGGUGUCCAGACUGAGCAAAGAAACAUAUAUUGGGGAAAGGAUACUGUAUUCAGUAAAUUGUGCUGGAAAAAGUGGUAAGCCACAUGUAGAAGAAUGAAACUGGAUCCCCAGCUCUCACCUAAUACAAAAAUCGACUCAAGAUGCAUCAAAGACUUAAAUAUAAAACCUGAAACCUUGAAAAUUCUAGAAGAUAACACCAGAAAAACUCUUCUAAAUGUUGGCUUACGCAAAGAAUUCAUGACUAAGACACCAAAAGAAAAUGCAACAAAAACAAAAAUAAAUAAAUGGGACUCAAUUAAACUGAAAAGAUUUUGCACACCAAAUAAAUAAUCAGAAGAAUAAACAGAAAACCCACAGAAUGGAAGAAAAUAUUCACCAACUAUGCAUCUGACAAAGGACUAGUAUCCAGAAUUUACAAGGAACUCAAACAAAUAAAUGAAUUCAAAUAUCCCAUUAAAAAGUGUGCAAAGGACAUGAAUAGACAAUUGUCAAAAGAAGAUAUACAAACAGCCAAUAAACAUAAAAAAAAAUACAGCAUCGCUAGUCACCAGGGAAAUGCAAAUUAAAACCACAGUGAGAUUCCACCUUACUCCCGCAAGAAUGUCCACAAUUAAAAAGUCAGAAAACAAUAGAUGUUGGCAUGGAUUUGGUGAAAAUCACAUCAGUGAAUACAGAUUUGGGAAGAAAUGUGCAUAACUGGUUUCAGCUAGCCAACACGCUGGUCCCAGUAUACCACUGGCUACGGCAUUCUAAAAGUGUCCUCAUAUGUAUCUAUUAAAUAUUCAAGAACUUUGACCAAUAUAUUCUCUGCCAAAUGCUCUCAAGAAAUCUUGGUGGAGAUGGUGUCGGGGUAAGGUGGGGGUUUUUCCGAAAUGGAAUCAUGUUAAUGUGGACUUAAUGUUAAAAUAUGAAUUUUCAAAAAAAUUUGCUUUACUUUCAGUAGGCUAAAUACCUACAUAGUAAAAUUUAAAAAAAUCUGUAAUUCUCUCUUAAUUUAUUCAUUAUACUAUUAUAUGUGGUAGGCAUUUUUUUCCUGGCUCUCAUAUCAUUUGUGUUUGUUUUAUACUAAUGAAAUACAGAAAAACUCUGUAGUAUAUAGAGCCCAAUGGAACUUUUAAGAGUGAGAAUUUUAAUUUGUAUAUUAUGGAAAAGUCAUCUCAGAAAUAUUAGUUUAUAAAUAUGCAGAUACAAUUUCUAGAAUGUCAAAAAAUAAUCCUUUCACCUGAGUUGUCUUAAGUAAAUAACUUUUAGGAUUUUUAAUUGGAUUAUUUAUGUAAUCAUUAUAAAGGAGAUCUGAGGUAAAUUGCUUAAGCAUUUUCUUUAGCUUUUUGCAAGACUAAAAAUGGAGAAUAAAUAUUUGCUCAAAUAUCGAGUCAAACUAAUUUUGAAGAGAAAUCUCUAAAUACUUUAUUAAAUGACCAAAAUAUAAGAAAAUGUUUAAAAAGACUGCAAAUAGAAACACAUCAGUUUAAAGCACACAAAGAGAUAAGUGGAAAAAGUAUUUUCUCAGAACAUGCUAAAAAAAACUUAGAAUAUCCAGGAUACUGCAUUUAUUCAUCCUUACAACAUGAAUUUUAAAUAUCUUAGCGACUGUGCUAUCAUUUUCAGUGUUCUGUAUGAAUUCUUACCUUCUCAGAAGAUUAUGUAGAUAUAACAGAUACUUCUGGAAUAUAUAUCCAUGAUAAGAUUUGUCUUUUUACAGGAGAAAAGAAAAUAUAUCAAGUCCAACAGAACUUAAGAAAAUACAAUUUAAUUAACUUUAUAUGAUAUAGGCCUUGUUAAUAUUAUAUAUCAAAAAAGAAUUCUAGUUUAUAUUCUUUUGUCUGUAAGAUGGGGGAGCUGUUGCAUUAUAAAAAAUACUGGUCAGUUCCAUUCCUCUAAGCAUUUUCUUUUGAUUAAAAUCAUUUGUAGUAAAAAUGAUGACCCAAACCUUUGUAAAUGAUAUUUUAGCUGGGUUAUAAUCUAAUGAAAUUGUGAUUUUAAAAGUGCUUCAAUUACUACAACUAUAAAAUCUUGGUUUACUAGGAAUAUGUAUAAGGUGAAGUAUCCAUUAUUUCUUUAACAUCAGUAUAUAUUGUUUAACAUUCUGCUUUUGGGCUAAGACUUCCUAGGCUUUACAGAAGAGAAGUUGUUUAUCUGAACAGUGUAAAAAUAUGUGUGUGUGUGUGUGUGUGUGUGUGUGUGUAUGUGUAUAAAAAUAUAUGUUCUGUUGUUAUUUAGUUAUGUCUUCCCUGAAAACACUGAUAGAUCCAACAAGUCUCUUGAUUCCUCUUAAAGAUAAGCAAGAAGAAGAAUAAAGUAUGUCACACUUAAACUUGAGUAAAUCCAAGUUGGAAAAACAGAAGCAGAUUUUUUUUUAAUCCUACAGGAUGAAUGUUGAGAGAGACAAAAAUAUUAACACCACAUAAAUUAUAACCUAGAGAAAUUCUAAACCAGGUUGAAAACCUACGCAUAAGCAGUCAAUAAUUAUCUUACACUUAUGCAAUACAAUUUUUUAUUACAGAAAGAACUUUAGUAAUUACCUCAUGCUGUAUAUAUGGGAAAGGAGAUAAGGAAGAAAAACUCUUUAUAGUAUGCAAUUAGUUAUCUCCUGCCUUAUCUUGGUAUUUGUAGAAACACUUGGAAGUAGGAAAAGUGAACAUUUGUAUCCCUGUUCUAUAGUUUAAAAAAUUGACACACAUAAGUUAUUUUUAAUUUAUCCAGUUAAUCACCAGUAAUCAUGAUGCUUUAUGAAUGACAAUUCUUUUAUAUUUAUUCAAAAAUAUGGGGAAAAUAAAUGACAUCUGCCUAUAUAACUUAAAAUUCUUGAAGAAAAUGUGUAUAGGAAUAACUUGGUAUGAAAUGUUAUAGAAAUGUUAGUUCUUUGUCUCUUAUAGUUACAGUAAGUGGCUAAUCAUCAUGUCUACGUUUAUGUAUAAUUUAUUUACAUUUUAAAAUGUUCUAACCUUGAAUACAUAGGGAACAAAUAUCUGAUGAUAGGUGUUUGCAAGGCAGCAUCAGUGAUUUUUCUUGAUAUUUUAUCUGAAAUAUCUGAGUAUCUACUAGGAAUCUAACAUGGAAAGGUAAUUACAUAUGAUGUUGGAAGCAAAUUUGUAUACACCCUAUUUAUGGCCAAGCAAAACAGUGUAAUGUGUCUGAGCAUGUAUGUGUUCCUUUCACCAGUUUUCUUGUGGUAGAAUUUAUAAAACUGCAUAUAUUCACAAUGUACAAUGUGAUGGUUUGACGUAUAUAUACAUUGUGAAAUAAUUACCACAAUCAAGUCAAUGAACACAUUCAUCACCUCAGCGUUUUCUAAAAUUACAUUUAUCAAACUGUAUUUGAAAGUAAAUGUGUUUUCUCAUUGUUAACCACGACUUUAAAACUUUAUUACAGAUUAAUGUUAAGAAAGCUACUGAAAUUAAUUUUAGUAAUAAAACAUCUGAAUAUACACCAUGAAAUGUAUAAAUGUAUGUGCUGAUUUUAGGAGUACAACUAAAUAAGUAAUGCAAACUUACUUGCAGGAUCAUCACUUUAACUCUGUCUCUCUCUCUCUCUCUCUCUUUAUAUAUAUGUCUCUCUCAUAUAUAUGAUAUAUCUUAUACAUCUAACUAUAUAUAUGUAGAGGAAGAAAGAGACACUAUAGAGUAAUACAACCUUUCCAUUAACUGCAUAUAAAGUCAGCCUUAUAAUAAUGCCCCUGGAUUAUCUGACCCUUUAAUAAAAUGUUAUACAUAUUUAGAGACUUGGAUUGUGCCUGUUUUUACUAACAGUUGUUAUUUAAAAUAUUAUUAGUAAGUUAAUUCAUAUAAACCAUGCAGAGAAGCUGUAUAACUGUGCAUAUAAAUAGUGAAGAGAAACUGAUCUGGCAUUCAGGGAUGUUGAGAUUAUUCCAACUCCGCUGCCAAUUGGCUGUGUGUCUUUGGAGAGGUCACAUAAUAUCUCCGAGCUAUAGUUUCCUUAUCAGUAACAUAGACUAGAUGAUUUUUAAAAUUUCACUCAGCACAUAAUUUGAUCUCUAACUUAAAAGAGCUGGAAUAAAAAUCACCACUAAAAAUUAUUAGCGUUACUAUGGUUGUACUUUGUUUUUAUACAUUACAGGCAUUAAAAACUACCUAGAGUUAAUUAGUAUUCGACAAAAUUAUUUCUUACAAAUCUUACGCUAUUCUGUAACGCAUGGGUCUAAUAUGUAUUUAAUGUAGCUUUCGUACAACUGCAAAAACUUCAAAGCAUAUCUGAACUUGUGGGUUUUGUAAGACUUGAACGCUAUAAAUGAAAGUAAUGGAAAUUUUAUUAUAUUCUAUUAUCGAUUGUGUGAUUAGAGUUGUUGAGUGGUAACUCAGUGUCUCAUGUGUGUGAAAGAGAGAGAAAUGAUGACAGUUGUAAAAGCCUAAGAUACACAAGACAGAAUAGUGGUUAGGAUCAUAAGCUUGGAAAUUAGAACCGAUAUUUUACUUCCAGUGUCUGCCACAUCUCAGUGGUAUGACUUUGGGAAAGUAGUUUAAUUUCUCUGAGUUACUUCAUCUGUAGUAUGCAGAUUACAAUAGCCACCGCACAGUGGGUAUAAAGAUGAGUAAGGUUAUAUUUUUGAACACGUAGAAGAGUAUCUGACAUACAAUAAGUGUGUACCGUUAAAGUAUACUUAAACAAAAUUUAAUAUUAAUAAAAGCUAUAUAUAGGUAUAUGGUUUUCACUUUUUGUUGUUGUUGUUAUUAUUGUUUUUCUUCAGUGCUGGGAAAACUGGCUAGCCAUAUGUAGAAAGCUGAGACUGGAUCCCUUCCUUACACCUUAUACAAAAAUUAAUUCAAGAUGGAUUAAAGACUUAAACAUUAGACCUAAAACCAUAAAAACCCUAGAAGAAACCUAGGCAAUACCAUUCAGGACAUAGGCAUGGGCAAGGACUUCAUGUCUAAAACACCAAAAGCAAUGGCAACAAAAGCCAAAACUGACAAAUGGGAUCUAAUUAAAGUAAAGAGCUUCUGCACAGCAAAAGAAACUACCAUCAGAGUGAACAGGCAACCUACAGAAUGGGAGAACAUUUUUGCAAUCUAUUCAUCUGACAAAGGGCUAAUAUCCAGAAUCUACAAUUAACUCAAACAAAUUUACAAGAAAAAAUCAAACAACC
rnacentral:lncRNA from 1 species